UAUUUUUUAUGAUGAUAUAAUUUGCGAUCUAGGACUGAGCAACCUGGGACAUGCCUAGUUCCAUUAUAGGUGUUCAGUGGAAUGCGAAAAUUACUUAGUCUGACACGAAA
rnacentral:snoRNA from 1 species